UGCGGGGUCCUUCGGGGCGGUUCACAGGUGGUGCAUGGCUGUCGUCAGCUCGUGUUCGUGAGAUGUUGGGUUAAGUCCCGCAACGAGCGCAACCCUCGUCCAAUGUUGCCAGCGGGUUAUGCCGGGGACUCAUUGGAGACUGCCGGGGUCAACUCGGAGGAAGGUGGGGAUGACGUCAAGUCAUCAUGCCCCUUAUGUCUUGGGCUGCAAACAUGCUACAAUGGCCGGUACAAAGGGCUGCGAACCCGUGAGGGUAAGCGAAUCCCGGAAAGCCGGUCUCAGUUCGGAUCGGGGUCUGCAACUCGGCCCCGUGAAGCCGGAGUCGCUAGUAAUCGCGGAUCAGCAACGCCGCGGUGAAUACGUUCCCGGGCCUUGUACACACCGCCCGUCACGUCACGAAAGUUGGCAACACCCGAAGCCGGCGGCCUAACCCGUAAGGGAGGGAGCUGUCGAAGGUGGGGUCGGCGAUUGGGACGAAGUCGUAACAAGGUAACCGUAA
rnacentral:rRNA from 1 species